CCAGCCAGAGUCAGUGGAUGAGAUGGUGGUUCGGAAACCAAAAUUGAAGUUGGUGUCAAAUCAGGUGUAAAAUCCACCUUGUAUGCAGCAUAUUCAGCUAGACAGGCUUGUCACCUUUGAUGUCCAGGGGGCCUUGGUAGUUCGUCAACAGGCAGCAAACUGCCCAUAGUUGGUUGAUGGAGCCGGCCAAGGAGAGAGGAACAACCCCAUCCCAGAUAUGACACAGUGUGGAUUAUUGGUGACUGGUCCGUCGAGGUGCC